rnacentral:rRNA from 1 species
UACGUAGGGUGCGAGCGUUAAUCGGAUUUACUGGGCGUAAAGCGCACGUAGGCGGUGCGGUAAGUCAGGGGUUAAAGGCUGCAGCUCAACUGCAGUAAGGCCUUUGAUACUAUCGUGCUAGAGUGUCAGAGAGGAUGGCGGAAUUCCCGGUGUAGCGGUGAAAUGCGUAGAUAUCGGGAGGAAGGCCGGUGGCGAAGGCGGCCUCCUGGGCCUGCACUGACGCUGAGGCGCGAAAGCGUGGGGAGCAAACAGG